AUUGAACGCUGGCGGCAGGCCUAACACAUGCAAGUCGAGCGGAUGAAGGGAGCUUGCUCCUGGAUUCAGCGGCGGACGGGUGAGUAAUUCCUAGGAAUCUGCCUUGUAGUGGGGGAUAACGUCCGGAAACGGGCGCUAAUACCGCAUACGUCCUGAGGGAGAAAGUGGGGGAUCUUCGGACCUCACGCUAUCAGAUGAGCCUAGGUCGGAUUAGCUAGUUGGUGGGGUAAAGGCCUACCAAGGCGACGAUCCGUAACUGGUCUGAGAGGAUGAUCAGUCACACUGGAACUGAGACACGGUCCAGACUCCUACGGGAGGCAGCAGUGGGGAAUAUUGGACAAUGGGCGAAAGCCUGAUCCAGCCAUGCCGCGUGUGUGAAGAAGGUCUUCGGAUUGUAAAGCACUUUAAGUUGGGAGGAAGGGCAGUAAGUUAAUACCUUGCUGUUUUGACGGUACCAACAGAAUAAGCACCGGCUAACUUCGUG
rnacentral:rRNA from 1 species